UCUCCAAGGAUUGAAUAUUGUUGAAUAGCGAGCGAGCGUGAUCUUCACUGUAGCUAAUAACAACAACCGUAGUCUACAAAACUCUUGAGAGCCUAGAACCACCGCCUAUACAUACAUCAUCGACCCUUGUCGUUUAAGAAGGAGAACAAUUGUGAAAUAUCUCGUAGAGAAAGGUACAAAACACUAUGGAGACCCAGAACAAUCAAACUCCGAAACCGGCCAUGACUUCAUGUAGGAGGAAGGUGAAGGAUGAUGCCACUUUCUUUGAGGACGUGAAAGAUCACAUUGAUGACUUCAUACAUGCCUCAAUGGCUGAACACAAGACCUGUUUCCAAAAAACCAUCAGCAAGAUGUUUGGAUUAUCAAAGCCUGUCGCAGAGAAGCAAGCUGAGGAGGCUAAGGGAGUCGAGAGUCAAUUGCCUCUUCAGACGACAGUGUCCAAGUAAAAGACUAUAAUGUUCUUUUCCAGCUGGGUUUGAAGAUAGUACAAUGUUGUUCGUUUUUCUUGUUUAAGAUCACAUCAGGUUUCUUUGUAAAUCAAAGACUGCUAGUUUAAAACUGCUAGUUUGGUAGUUAGUUGCCGCUUUUGUGUUUCCAAUAUAUAAUUUGCUCGAAGGUAUAAUAAAUCUAAUUGAUCCGAUUCCGCUAA